UCUCUGCGUAUAACGCAUUUAUAUACAACUUUCAGCAACGGAUCUCUUGGCUCUCGCAUCGAUGAAGAACGCAGCGAAAUGCGAUAAGUAAUGUGAAUUGCAGAAUUCAGUGAAUCAUCGAAUCUUUGAACGCACCUUGCGCUCCCUGGUAUUCCGGGGAGCAUGCCUGUUUGAGUGUCAUGGUAUUCUCAACCUUCAUAACUUUUGUUAUCGAAGGCUUGGAUUUGGAGGUUGUGCUGGCUUCUCGUCAAGUCGGCUCCUCUUAAAAGCAUUAGCGUGAGUGUAACGGAUCGCUUCGGUGUGAUAAUUAUCUGCGCCGUGGUCGUGAAGUAACAUAAGCUUGCGCUUCUAACCGUCCUUCAGCUGGACAAAUUUACUCUGACAUCUGACCUCAAAUCAGGUAGGACUACCCGCUGAACUUAAGCAU
rnacentral:rRNA from 1 species